rfam:Aedes albopictus isolate Foshan contig31291, whole genome shotgun sequence.
UGUUCUGUGGCUUACUGGGGUUAAGCACCGGACAAGCGAUACGGAGUCGUGGGUUCGAAUCCCAAUAAAACAA